GUGCUCACUUCGGCAACAAAUAUACUAAAAUAGUAAUGAUGCAGAGAUUAGCAUGGCUCCUGCACACGGAUGACAUGCAAAUAAAAAUAAAUAAAAAUAAAAAAC
rnacentral:snRNA from 1 species